rnacentral:rRNA from 1 species
CCUACGGGAGGCAGCAGUGGGGAAUAUUGCGCAAUGGGCGAAAGCCUGACGCAGCGACGCCGCGUGAGGGAUGAAGGUCUUCGGAUCGUAAACUCCUUUUGUUAGAGAAGAUAAUGACGGUCUCUAACGAAUAAGCACCGGCUAAAUCCGUGCCAGCAGCCGCGGUCAUACGGAGGGUGCAAGCGUUACUCGGAAUCACUGGGCGUAAGGAGCGCGUAGGCGGGAUAGCAAGUCAGAUGUGAAAUCCUAUGGCUUAACCAGAGAACUGCAUUUGAAACUGUUAUUCUAGAGUAUGGGAGAGGUAGGUGGAAUGCUUGGUGUAGGGGUAAAAUCCGUAGAGAUCAAGAGGAAUACUCAUUGCGAAGGCGACCUGCUAGAACAUAACUGACGCUGAUGCGCGAAAGCGUGGGGAGCAAACAGGAUUAGAUACCCGGGUAGUC